GACGAACGCUGGCGGCGUGCUUAACACAUGCAAGUCGAACGGAAAGGCCCUGCUUUUGUGGGGUGCUCGAGUGGCGAACGGGUGAGUAACACGUGAGUAACCUGCCCUUGACUUUGGGAUAACUUCAGGAAACUGGGGCUAAUACCGGAUAGGAGCUCCUGCUGCAGGGUGGGGGUUGGAAAGUUUCGGCGGUUGGGGAUGGACUCGCGGCUUAUCAGCUUGUUGGUGGGGUAGUGGCUUACCAAGGCUUUGACGGGUAGCCGGCCUGAGAGGGUGACCGGCCACAUUGGGACUGAGAUGCGGCCCAGACUCCUACGGGAGGCAGCGGUGGGGAAUAGUGCACAAUGGGCGGGAGCCUGAUGCAGCAACGCCGCGUGCGGGAUGACGGCCUUCGGGUUGUAAACCGCUUUCGCCUGUGACGAAGCGUGAGUGACGGUAAUGGGUAAAGAAGCACCGGCUAACUACGUG
rnacentral:rRNA from 1 species